AGCCUCUCCUUCCCUGCCAGCCUCCUGGGCGCAGACAGCCCAGUGCUGGCAGGAAGGGCUUUCUGUUUGGCUUGGCUGGCGGGAUGCGAUUAGCGCUCGCUUUCUAUUUUGACUCCUAUCUCACCAGCAGGCAGAGCCUGUGACUGAGCAGAAAGCAGCCGUGGGCCUUCCCAAGGGCUCCCUGCUGUGUCUGGAGGGAGUGAAUGGGGGACCGCCUAGUACCGGCCCCCCCCAUCAUGCAGAGAGAUCCUCCUGCUUCAUCAGACUGCCUGCUGGUGAGUCGCUCUGCCUCGGCCGCCACACUGCAACAACGGAUAGAUGAUUGGCUGCUUUCCUACAGUCUCCGUCUCAUCUUGGGGGGUGCAAGGGGCACUGUGUCCCAGAGUAAGGGGUCUGGCUUCCCGGAUGGCCUCCAGAGGGGCUGAAGAACUCAUCCACAGAAGUUCUCUGGAUUGGGAGAUGAGAUAGGAGGGUAAAUUCCUUCUUUGGUCCUUCCUCCUCCCAAUCCCUCCCGUGGACCAUUCAAGGCACUUUCUCUAGAUUACCAUCUGGAGACCGGAGUCUGCUGAGGAUCUCCCUCUCAAAGGACUGUGGUUUUGUUGGUCCCAAGUCCCCAGUCUACCAGGACCUAAGUCUACCGAGGUUGCUUGUGCAGCAAUGGCAGGGUGGUUAUGCCUUGCCUUCUGUCGUUCCCUGCUUCACUGGCCCUUCCCUGGCAUUCCACCUCCAACAUAAGACACUGCAUUUACUCUCUUUGCCAAAGCCUCUUUUCUACAGAGAACCAGGUGCAGCGAGGUGAAGCUAUUUCCCUGAGGAUCGGGGCCUGAACUCAAGACUGCCUGAGCUGAACCAGUCCGUGCUCGGAGGGGGCAUUUUUGAAUGGCUCUUCGAGUCAUGAAGACGUCUCGAUGCCCCAGCUGACAGCGACCGCGGCCUCUUGGUUCCUGAAGGUUCCCUGGCCUGUGACUGGCCUUGUGGUGCUUUCCUUCUCUCCUUGAUGUGAGCAAACCGGCACCCACUGCCUCAGAGAGACCCGGGUGACCGAGCUGAGCUCCCUUCGAGGGUUUCCAAGACUCAACGUCUUACGGAGCCACGUCGUUCUUCCGCGGAGCAGCUGGCGGAUUCAAACCACGACAGACCCUUCUGUAAACAGCCCAGCCCUUCAGAACACCACCAAAGAUCCUUUCGACAACAUGCCUUUCCUCUGCACCUUUAGCUUCAACCCUGACUCUGCAUGAGGAUCCCUGGUGGGUGCUGUUGGGCCGCUAACUGCAAGGUCAGCAGUUUAAAACCACGAGCCUCUCGGGGAGAAAGGGGCUUUCUACUCCCGUAAAGACUUAGUCUCAUAAAUUCACGGGGCCGGUUCUGCCCUAUCCUGGACGGGGUCGCUGUGAGUCUGCAUCGGCUAGACGGCAGUGAGGUUGGUUUUUUGGGAUUCCGUAAGAGCGCCACAUUGCACACCCCUGUCUCCCAAGCCUUGUCCCCGGGAAUGCCUCAAAGUGGAAUCUGCGUUAUGGGAGACUGGUUCCCAAGCACCCAGUUUCCAUUGCUCCUCAUGGCAGUCCCCGUAGUUGGGGAGCUGCUUCUCCUCCGCUCUGUGGAGUCCUGGAGUACUCCACUACCGGGCAACCAGGUGGUCACAAGACCCUGGUGAGGCCAGCCGGAGCCCUGCAGUCUCUGGGUGGGUCCAAUCAGAGUAUUCAAGAAUUUCCCCUUGAAUCAUGAAUUUUUAAGGAUCUGCAGCCAGAGCUCUAGUGGCUUGUAACGGACCCUAAAUGAAGCCCUGAAACAGUCAGCAGCGAUCAGCUCCCUUCCCUUUCAGCGUCUGACCCCUAAGCCUCUGUCAUCAGUCAAUUCUGACUCAGUGACCCUUGGGGGGAAAGUUGCAUUUUUGUUUAAAAUAAACACUGUUUUUUA